UUCCUUCUUCUCAGCCCCGGUUGAUGACAAGUCCACUGUGACUCUCCCUUCCCUGAACCCAUAAAGUCAGCAUCUCAUCACAAAAGACUGAGCUGCUUGUUAAGGGUCUCAAGUGCCUUUGCUUGGUCUGCCAAACAGACUGUAAGGUACCAGAAGAUAGGCUUGGGUUUCCUAUUCCUGUGGUUUUCUCCCAAACUGCCUGCACUACCCAGGGUGAUCUGCUGGACAAAUUGGCACAAGCCCAGUGAAUGGAGUCCCUGGAGGGCCACAGUCAGAGAAGAAUCUAGCCUGGUGUGGCUGUGUGAGUCACACGGCAGUGUGGGGAGCCUGAGGUUUGGGCCACUAGGGGAGAGAUCGCCAGCCGUCCCAUACCCAAAGCUUGUGUCUCAUCCGUCCUUUGAAAUUGAGGCAGACAAAUGGUGACAAGGACAAAUCUUGGAAGGUGAGCAUGUGCCUGAUGCCAGCCAUUCCCCUGGAGACUCCCCUAUGCCCACCAGACACCCAGAGACCUACAUAAUCUCAACCUCUAUAACUAUCACUCAUUUUCAGACCAGCUGCACCCUAAAGCCUUCUAUUUUACUUUCCUGAAGCUCUUGGUGUUGUUGGGGCACUAUUACCCUGCAUGAGGGAGGUAGACUCAUCCAAGCCAUGUGUAAAUGCUGAUUCUAGGAAGUCAGGACCCCAAGCUGGAAGCCCAAAUCCACCAAGUAUUAGCCUUGAACAAAUAUCAGUGCUCUUCAUCUGUAAAAUAGAGGGGUUGAAGCUGCUAUAUUCCAGGUGCUGUGAACACAGUGGUGUCCUGCCAGAUGCUGUGAACACAGUGGUGUCCUGGCCACCAUGGCUGACCUGGCCCAGGCCUUCAGGUAUUUCAGAGUCUACUGAAAACUUUGCUCUUCUCAUUCCAAGCUUUCCUACUUAUGUGACUUACACCAGAUUACUUAACCUCGGUGAACCUCAGUUUUUACAUCUGUGAGGUGGGGGAGCAAUUAGAGAAGGUAACAUGACAUGUGUAAAGGGUCUGUCGCAGUAUGUGGAACUCAUGUGUCCUCAAUAAAUGUAAGCCGUCUCCCCUAAGUCA
rnacentral:lncRNA from 1 species